GAUGAAGAACGGAGCGAAAUGCGAUACGUAAUGUGAAUUGCAGAAUUCAGUGAAUCAUCGAAUCUUUGAACGCAUAUUGCGCUCUCUGGUAUUCCGGAGAGCAUGCUUGUUUGAGUAUCAGUAAACACCUCAACUUCCAUAUCUUUUUUGAAAUGGGAGUUGGACUUGAGUGAUCCCAACGCUUUUCCUCACCGAAAAGUGGCGGGUUACUUGAAAUGCAGGUGCAGCUGGACUUUUCUCUGAGCUAUAAGCAUAUCUAUUUAGUCUGCCUAAAAAACAGAUUAUUACCUUUGCUGCAGCUAACAUAAAGGAGAUUAGUUCUUGUGCUGACUGAUGCAGGAUUCACAAAGACGGCUUCGGCCGACUUUGUAAACUCGAUCUCAAAUCAAGUAAGACUACCCGCUGAACUUAAGCAUAUCAAUAAGCGGAGGA
rnacentral:misc_RNA from 1 species